rnacentral:rRNA from 1 species
AUUGAACGCUGGCGGCAGGCCUAACACAUGCAAGUCGAGCGAGCGGCGGACGGGCGAGUAAUGUAUGGGGACUGCCCGAUAGAGGGGGAUAACUACUGGAAACGGUGGCUACUACUGCAUACUAUCGGAUAACCCAUAUGGGAUUAGCUAGUCGGUGGGGUAAAGGCUCACCUAGGCGACGAUCGCCAGCGGGUCUGAGAGGCUGAUCAGCCACACUGGGACUGAGACACGGCCCAGACUCCUACGGAGGCAGCAGUUGGGAAUAUUGGACAAUGGGCGAAAGCCUGAUGCAGCCAUGCCGCGUGUAUGAAGAAGGCCUUAGGGUUGUAAAGUACUUUCAGCGGGGAGGCGUUACCCGCAGAAGAAGCACCGGCUAACUCCGUGCCAGCAGCCGCGGUAAUUC